rnacentral:rRNA from 1 species
AGAGGCCGCAUGCCAUAGGAUGAGCCCAAGUGGGAUUAGGUAGUUGGUGGGGUAAAUGCCUACCAAGCCUGCGAUCUCUAGCUGGUCUGAGAGGAUGACCAGCCACACUGGAACUGAGACACGGUCCAGACUCCUACGGGAGGCAGCAGUGGGGAAUAUUGCGCAAUGGGGGGAACCCUGACGCAGCCAUGCCGCGUGAAUGAAGAAGGCCUUCGGGUUGUAAAGUUCUUUCGGUAUUGAGGAAGGUUGAUGUGUUAAUAGCACAUCAAAUUGACGUUAAAUACAGAAGAAGCACCGGCUAACUCCGUGCCAGCAGCCGCGGUAAUACGGAGGGUGCGAGCGUUAAUCGAAAUAACUGGGCGUAAAGGGCACGCAGGCGGUUAUUUAAGUGAGGUGUGAAAGCCCUGGGCUUAACCUAGGAAUUGCAUUUCAGACUGGGUAACUAGAGUACUUUAGGGAGGGGUAGAAUUCCACGUGUAGCGGUGAAAUGCGUAGAGAUGUGGAGGAAUACCGA